GCCAGCUCCAGCGGAGCCCGGCGACACGCCGAGCCCCAGCCCCAGGAUUCCGCGGACUGGAGCGCAGCGCCGGCAGCCGAGUGACUUUCACAAAGGACAUUUCAGCCAGAUCAAGGGAGCAGAUGGCGCUGCAUGAGGCCUCCUGCAGGAUGAGGAUGGGGGGAGGCCAGGCUUUCCUGUGAUUUGUUCCCGUACCUGCGUUGUACUCCUCAGGCCCCACCAGACCUGGAUCUGCUCCUUUAUGGCUGGUCUCUGAGAGACCCAACCCUUGUUCAUAUUUAUGAUUCAUAAGCUUAAAAGAAAUGCAAGUGGUAUGGGGGAUGUGGCAUUUCCAUGUUGUCUCCACCAUGAACUCCAAAUCUGAAAUGUGUAGGAAGAUCCACAUUUGGCCAGGCAAGAACAACACCAUAAGGAAUGCGAUGUGAAAAGAAGGUGGAGGUCAGGAAUGUGCUGAAUUAUUGGGCCAAUUCCAAUUGCGUUCUGGAAUCCACUCUGGUACCUCGAGGGCUCUUCACUUUCCAGACAUCUGUUGACAACCACCAUGGGCCAGCACUGCCACAGCGCUGAGGAUGGAGCGGACAGACAAGAAGCCUUAUUCCGUGGAGCUUGUGUUCUAGUGGAGUGCAUGCUCUGCAAAGGAAACCCAGAGGAGUAUCCUCUAGGAGCCAGAGUACUCUGUGGUGGGUGAAGAAGGCGCCAUAGUAUUAGCCAAAAAUUGCUGACUAUGAGAAAAAGUUAGGUAAUCCUGCGUGACACUGAGAUAAACCAUGAAAAGGAAAAAGUUCAAUUGUAUAUUUGAUAUCUGGAGGAUUUGGCCUAAUUCUUUAGUCUUUUAUCUUGUUGCUAACCAUCACCUGAAUACAG
rnacentral:lncRNA from 1 species